AUGGGGUCGCUGUGUCCAUUUCUUUUACUGUCUAUGAGUGGGAGAGGAGUAUGCUUUUCGAUGAUAGUUUUGGAGAAGAUGGGCCUGUCUGGUAAAGUGACACCAGCCCAAGCAAAGAAAAAGUGGGACAAUUUAAAAAAGAAAUAUAAAGAAUGCAAGUAUCCAGGGUCAGGAGAGGGAGUGAGUGACCAAGAGGAGAGAGAGGAAGAAGAGAGGGAAGGAGAUAGGCAGCCAGCAGCGAAGAAGAGGAGAAGGGACAGUGACCAGGAGCUGUUAGACCUCAUCAGGGAGGACAUGAGGCAGCAGAGAGAGGCUGAAGAGAGGAGAGCACAGGCUGAAGAGAGGAGGGCACAGGAGAGCAGGGAGAGGAUGGACAGGCUCUUCUCCAUUCUGGAGCGUUGGGUCCCCAAAUAAUUUUUUUUUUUCUUGGGGUGGGAGGGAUUACAUUUUUUCCAUUGUUAGCUUCAGUUGUUUGAAAUAAAUUGUUUGAAAGAAAUACUUCUCA
ensembl:lncRNA